CAAAAAAAUAUUAUGGUAAUGACAAAAGUAACUUACUUUUAAAUUGAGAAGUGGUUAAAAUUUGCUACAUUAAAAGUGUUUUUCUUGUUUUGAAAAUGAAAACUUUUACUGCUACAGUUUUUGAAAAUCUCCUUGCUAACUGAUUUAAAAGUUUUAACUUUUAAUUCGACUGUAUAAUUUCUUUCAUUUUGUCGUUCUCGUGAAACCGUGUACGUCUAAGUCCAAAAUGUAAACAAACGUUUAGGUGAUUCCGGUGGUCAGUGAGUGGUGGUCCACGACGCAGCCAGGACUUGAACGCGGAUACCUUCGAAGGAGGAUGGUGCGGAACAAGGUUGGGGGAUUAGGGGAAAGUUGGUUUUCAAAAGGAUAGGCCAGCUUCCUGCCGGAUCUGCAGCUGUUUCACGACCGAAAUGGGACGCCGUGUAUGCGGAUGUGAAUUUGCACCGGUUGUAUUCGGUGGUGGUGGCCUGGGGUGGUUAGACGAGAUUGAAGUUGGAGCAGAUUUACAUCCGCUUUCUGAAAAAGUACGAUAAAGUAAAUUUUAUCGGUGAGGAGAAGGAUCCGACGGAAGAGGGAAACGACGAGAAGUGAUCGGAGGUGGUCAGCGCGGAUGUUGCACUCGAUCGAGAAAUUAAAAGUGCAACAUGGAGUUAAACUUUCUGUCAAGCCUCUGUGAAGAUUUCCAUGACAGCUGUGAAAGUUUCACUCCAUGUUACCGGCUCACAUCUCUCUUUUUAAUUUUUCGAUACCGGCGGUUUACGACCACCAGCAGCAUUAUGUGCCGGAAGUGAUGACGGGACACUGUGGGAUGUCCUGAGGGUCCGCAGUCCAUUUCUCGGUGCGGGACAUGUUUGACGAGUAUUACCGAGUAAAGCCGCAGGUCCUGAAGCUGUCGUACUCGGAUUACUUCUAGAGGUUGGAGCGAUAUCCGACGAACCUGAUCAAGAACAUCUAUCUGGAAUACGGAAGAAUUCACCGCAACUCCCGCCCGCAAACGCUCAACUCGCGACGGCGCAGCUUCGGCUGGAUGAACUGGCAACAUCUGUGUCCUUUCCCGAAUCAACACCCAAUGGCCAACUCCUCCAAGCCUGUCUGAUGAUGGCCAGCAACGAGACCACCCUGUUCUCUACAUCGCUGUCGGACUCCAAAAUGAAGGCCGUGAUGUUAAGCAGCAUAAGCAGCAGUUUUAGUAUUAAAAUAAAAAUAAACAUAGAAAUAAAAUCCAUCCCAUUUUUCAAAAAUCA